CGCGGGCUGUGGUUUGACGCGCGGAGUCGAUGGAUUGUCUGCAAACCAAAGCCAGGACCAUCAGAAGCCCCAGCCUCCCAGUUGUAAGCCCAGGCCCCGGCCCGCCCUGGCGCUCACCCUUUGUGCCAUCCGUGCUCAGCGGCCCGGGUCGCCCCGGGCGUCUGCGCUGCUGCAGGAAUCGGACGCUGUUGCGGCGAUAGGUGUCCUGGCUAAGGCGCUUCCGAGAACGCUGGUGGAUGCUCUGUGCGUUGCGGAUGGUCGACCUGGCCCAGCAGGAUGCAAGUGUCAGUGCCCCGGAGUCGCUGUUCCCGGGGCACGGGUGGACACCCCUGUCAUCCUAAGCCUGGCUAGAGAAAGUAGGGUACGGAGAAACUCGGACACCCUGAGAUCCUAACCCUGGCCUCAGCAAGUGGGUUAAGAGGGACUCGCACCCCUCAGGUCCUAAGCAUAUAUUUACAUAACAAGUGGAAUGCAGGCAAGGGAAACUUCAAGAGCUGCGUGGGGGUCAAGAAUCCUCCCAGGCCUGUUUCCCACACCCACUUUGCCCAUCAACAUGACCCUUGCCCUGGGACUGCUCAGGUCUCAUUGACCAUCCCCCCACGCAUCUUUGGGCACCUCACUGGGUCUGUCCGUGACCUUCUUCCCCUCCAUCCCUGUGUCUGCCACCUCCAACAACAGCGAAAGCACAGCACUAAACCUGAAGGUCCUGGAGAUGAAACUCUGCGGCUAAUGAGGACAGAAGACUCCAGAAUCGCACAGCCAAGUCAGCUCAGAGCCCAAGAGAGGUUCCCCAAACCCACUCAGAGAGGUGUGUGCAGAGGGAGGGGCUCUCCUACCUGACCA